rnacentral:rRNA from 1 species
UUAAGCGACUAAGCGUACACGGUGGAUGCCCUGGCAGUCAGAGGCGAUGAAGGACGUGCUAAUCUGCGAUAAGCGUCGGUAAGGUGAUAUGAACCGUUAUAACCGGCGAUUUCCGAAUGGGGAAACCCAGUGUGAUUCGUCACACUAUCAUUAACUGAAUCCAUAGGUUAAUGAGGCGAACCGGGGGAACUGAAACAUCUAAGUACCCCGAGGAAAAGAAAUCAACCGAGAUUCCCCCAGUAGCGGCGAGCGAACGGGGAGCAGCCCAGAGCCUGAAUCAGUGUGUGUGUUAGUGGAAGCGUCUGGAAAGGCGCGCGAUACAGGGUGACAGCCCCGUACACAAAAAUGCACAUACUGUGAGCUCGAUGAGUAGGGCGGGACACGUGGUAUCCUGUCUGAAUAUGGGGGGACCAUCCUCCAAGGCUAAAUACUCCUGACUGACCGAUAGUGAACCAGUACCGUGAGGGAAAGGCGAAAAGAACCCCGGCGAGGGGAGUGAAAAAGAACCUGAAACCGUGUACGUACAAGCAGUGGGAGCACGCUUAGGCGUGUGACUGCGUACCUUUUGUAUAAUGGGUCAGCGACUUAUAUUCUGUAGCAAGGUUAACCGAAUAGGGGAGCCGAAGGGAAACCGAGUCUUAACUGGGCGUUAAGUUGCAGGGUAUAGACCCGAAACCCGGUGAUCUAGCCAUGGGCAGGUUGAAGGUUGGGUAACACUAACUGGAGGACCGAACCGACUAAUGUUGAAAAAUUAGCGGAUGACUUGUGGCUGGGGGUGAAAGGCCAAUCAAACCGGGAGAUAGCUGGUUCUCCCCGAAAGCUAUUUAGGUAGCGCCUCGUGAAUUCAUCUCCGGGGGUAGAGCACUGUUUCGGCAAGGGGGUCAUCCCGACUUACCAACCCGAUGCAAACUGCGAAUACCGGAGAAUGUUAUCACGGGAGACACACGGCGGGUGCUAACGUCCGUCGUGAAGAGGGAAACAACCCAGACCGCCAGCUAAGGUCCCAAAGUCAUGGUUAAGUGGGAAACGAUGUGGGAAGGCCCAGACAGCCAGGAUGUUGGCUUAGAAGCAGCCAUCAUUUAAAGAAAGCGUAAUAGCUCACUGGUCGAGUCGGCCUGCGCGGAAGAUGUAACGGGGCUAAACCAUGCACCGAAGCUGCGGCAGCGACGCUGAUGCGUUGUUGGGUAGGGGAGCGUUCUGUAAGCCUGUGAAGGUGUGCUGUGAGGCAUGCUGGAGGUAUCAGAAGUGCGGAUGCUGACAUAAGUAACGAUAAAGCGGGUGAAAAGCCCGCUCGCCGGAAGACCAAGGGUUCCUGUCCAACGUUAAUCGGGGCAGGGUGAGUCGACCCCUAAGGCGAGGCCGAAAGGCGUAGUCGAUGGGAAACAGGUUAAUAUUCCUGUACUUGGUGUUACUGCGAAGGGGGGACGGAGAAGGCUAUGUUGGCCUGGCGACGGUUGUCCCGGUUUAAGCGUGUAGGCUGGUUUUCCAGGCAAAUCCGGAAAAUCAAGGCUGAGGCGUGAUGACGAGGCACUACGGUGCUGAAGCAACAAAUGCCCUGCUUCCAGGAAAAGCCUCUAAGCAUCAGGUAACAUCAAAUCGUACCCCAAACCGACACAGGUGGUCAGGUAGAGAAUACCAAGGCGCUUGAGAGAACUCGGGUGAAGGAACUAGGCAAAAUGGUGCCGUAACUUCGGGAGAAGGCACGCUGAUAUGUAGGUGAAGUCCCUCGCGGAUGGAGCUGAAAUCAGUCGAAGAUACCAGCUGGCUGCAACUGUUUAUUAAAAACACAGCACUGUGCAAACACGAAAGUGGACGUAUACGGUGUGACGCCUGCCCGGUGCCGGAAGGUUAAUUGAUGGGGUCAGCGCAAGCGAAGCUCUUGAUCGAAGCCCCGGUAAACGGCGGCCGUAACUAUAACGGUCCUAAGGUAGCGAAAUUCCUUGUCGGGUAAGUUCCGACCUGCACGAAUGGCGUAAUGAUGGCCAGGCUGUCUCCACCCGAGACUCAGUGAAAUUGAACUCGCUGUGAAGAUGCAGUGUACCCGCGGCAAGACGGAAAGACCCCGUGAACCUUUACUAUAGCUUGACACUGAACAUUGAGCCUUGAUGUGUAGGAUAGGUGGGAGGCUUUGAAGUGUGGACGCCAGUCUGCAUGGAGCCGGCCUUGAAAUACCACCCUUUAAUGUUUGAUGUUCUAACGUUGACCCGUGAUCCGGGUUGCGGACAGUGUCUGGUGGGUAGUUUGACUGGGGCGGUCUCCUCCUAAAGAGUAACGGAGGAGCACGAAGGUUGGCUAAUCCUGGUCGGACAUCAGGAGGUUAGUGCAAUGGCAUAAGCCAGCUUGACUGCGAGCGUGACGGCGCGAGCAGGUGCGAAAGCAGGUCAUAGUGAUCCGGUGGUUCUGAAUGGAAGGGCCAUCGCUCAACGGAUAAAAGGUACUCCGGGGAUAACAGGCUGAUACCGCCCAAGAGUUCAUAUCGACGGCGGUGUUUGGCACCUCGAUGUCGGCUCAUCACAUCCUGGGGCUGAAGUAGGUCCCAAGGGUAUGGCUGUUCGCCAUUUAAAGUGGUACGCGAGCUGGGUUUAGAACGUCGUGAGACAGUUCGGUCCCUAUCUGCCGUGGGCGCUGGAGAACUGAGGGGGGCUGCUCCUAGUACGAGAGGACCGGAGUGGACGCAUCACUGGUGUUCGGGUUGUCAUGCCAAUGGCACUGCCCGGUAGCUAAAUGCGGAAGAGAUAAGUGCUGAAAGCAUCUAAGCACGAAACUUGCCCCGAGAUGAGUUCUCCCUGACUCCUUGAGAGUCCUGAAGGAACGUUGAAGACGACGACGUUGAUAGGCCGGGUGUGUAAGCGCAGCGAUGCGUUGAGCUAACCGGUACUAAUGAACCGUGAGGCUUAACCUU